GCAAAUACGAAGCUUCACAAGUAUAGCUUAAAGAUAGCAUAAUUUUAAAAAUAUAGAUUGUUUUUAGAGUGUCUUUGAACAAUUCAACUGUCAUUUGACAUUCUUGUUCAAUCCUAUUAACAUCAUUGUUUUGUGUGACAGAAUCAUAAAUUUAAAAUUUUCCGGUUCUAAUGGUUCGAUCUAUAAAUAGCUCAAAUUUAACUGGAUUUAUUCAAUCUAAGUAAGUAUCUCAAGAUCCAAACAUUAUGAGCCUUGCAAUAUUCUGUAACAUUUGCCUACUGAUCAUUAUGCAGACGACGACAAGGAAGCCACUAUGCCCUCCACAUUCCAAGCACCCCUGUACCUAACUUAAGGAACAGGACACUACGGUCUUGGAAUGCUAUAUGUAUAUAUACUUCUAAACAUGGAGAACACAUUACUUUUGGUCUUGCCUUUAAAACAUUGGUUGCCAAAAUUAUCUAUGAUUAAAAAAAUUGAUUAAGAAACGUAUAUUUUUUAAAAACUACCGCAGACAAUAUAAAAUAUAUAACUUGAUUCUGACUGA